rnacentral:rRNA from 1 species
AGUGAACGCUGGCGGUAGGCCUAACACAUGCAAGUCGAACGGCAGCACAGUAAGAGCUUGCUCUUACGGGUGGCGAGUGGAGGACGGGUGAGGAAUACAUCGGAAUCUACUUUUUCGUGGGGGAUAACGUAGGGAAACUUACGCUAAUACCGCAUACGACCUACGGGUGAAAGCAGGGGAUCUUCGGACCUUGCGCGAUUGAAUGAGCCGAUGUCGGAUUAGCUAGUUGGCGGGGUAAAGGCCCACCAAGGCGACGAUCCGUAGCUGGUCUGAGAGGAUGAUCAGCCACACUGGAACUGAGACACGGCCCAGACUCCUACGGGAGGCAGCAGUGGGGAAUAUUGGACAAUGGGCGCAAGCCUGAUCCAGCCAUACCGCGUGGGUGAAGAAGGCCUUCGGGUUGUAAAGCCCUUUUGUUGGGAAAGAAAAGCAGCAGGUUAAUACCCCGCUGUUCUGACGGUACCCAAAGAAUAAGCACCGGCUAACUUCGUG